rnacentral:rRNA from 1 species
UACGAAGGGGGCUAGCGUUGCUCGGAUUCAUUGGGCGUAAAGGGUGCGUAGGCGGCGCGGUAAGUCGGGUGUGAAAUCUCGGGGCUUAACUCCGAAACUGCAUUCGAUACUGCCGUGCUUGAGGACUGGAGAGGAGACUGGAAUUUACGGUGUAGCGGUGAAAUGCAUAGAUAUCGUAAGGAAGACCAGUGGCGAAGGCGGGUCUCUGGACAGUUCCUGACGCUGAGGCACGAAGGUCAGGGGAGCAAACGGG